UAUUGGGUCUCCUGAUGUGCUGCUUGUCGACAUGUCCUGUACAGUCUGCACCUUUAUUCUCAACCAUCUGCAGCUAGUGUAACAUGCACGGCACUUCAUGACCUCAACUGAAUAGUGUGCACAUCAAGUUUUCCUCAGUAAUCAGCUUUUUCUCUCCAAGUGAGAUUGUGAUAUCAAUCAUGCAUUGUGCAGCAGCAUCCUGUGUGAACAAUUCAAAAUACAGGGAUAGGUUGAUUGUUAUGCCACAUGUAAUUGAACUACAGUUCCAUAAGGCACAUGCAGAGGACUACACUAAAUGGGAAAAGAAGCUUGACAAGACGGAUUACAGGGUGUCACAG